AUUGAACGCUGGCGGCAUGCCUUACACAUGCAAGUCGAACGGCAGCACGGGUGCUUGCACCUGGUGGCGAGUGGCGAACGGGUGAGUAAUACAUCGGAACAUGUCCUGUAGUGGGGGAUAGCCCGGCGAAAGCCGGAUUAAUACCGCAUACGAUCUACGGAUGACAGCGGGGGACCUUCGGGCCUCGCGCUAUAGGGUUGGCCGAUGGCUGAUUAGCUAGUUGGUGGGGUAAAGGCCUACCAAGGCGACGAUCAGUAGCUGGUCUGAGAGGACGACCAGCCACACUGGGACUGAGACACGGCCCAGACUCCUACGGGAGGCAGCAGUGGGGAAUUUUGGACAAUGGGCGAAAGCCUGAUCCAGCAAUGCCGCGUGUGUGAAGAAGGCCUUCGGGUUGUAAAGCACUUUUGUCCGGAAAGAAAUCCUUGGCCCUAAUACGGUCGGGGGAUGACGGUACCGGAAGAAUAAGCACCGGCUAACUACGUG
rnacentral:rRNA from 1 species